AGUGAACGCUGGCGGCAGGCCUAACACAUGCAAGUCGAACGGCAGCACAAGAUAGCUUGCUCUCUGGGUGGCUAGUGGCGUACGGGUGAGGAAUGCAUCGGAAUCUGCCCAUUUGUGGGGGAUAACCUCGGGAAACCGGGACUAAUACCGCAUACGACCUACGGGUGAAAGCAGGGGAUCUUCGGACCUUGCGCAGAUGGAUGAGCCGAUGCCGGAUUAGCUAGUUGGAGGGGUAAAGGCCCACCAAGGCGACGAUCCGUAGCUGGUCUGAGAGGAUGAUGAGCCACACUGGGACUGAGACACGGCCCAGACUCCUACGGGAGGCAGAAGUGGGGAAUAUUGGACAAUGGGCGCAAGCCUGAUCCAGCCAUGCCGCGUGUGUGAAGAAGGCCUUCGGGUUGUAAAGCACUUUUGUUGGGAAAGAAAAGCAGCCGGUUAAUACCCGGUUGUCAUGACGGUACCCAAAGAAUAAGCACCGGCUAACUUCGUG
rnacentral:rRNA from 1 species